GAGUUUGAUCCUGGCUCAGGAUGAACGCUGCCGUUCGUGCCUAAUACAUGCAAGUCGAGCGAAUGGAUUAAGAGCUUGCUCUUAUGAAGUUAGCGGCGGACGGGUGAGUAACACGUGGGUAACCUGCCCAUAAGACUGGGAUAACUCCGGGAAACCGGGGCUAAUACCGGAUAACAUUUUGAACCGCAUGGUUCAAAAUUGAAAGGCGGCUUCGGCUGUCACUUAUGGAUGGACCCGCGUCGCAUUAGCUAGUUGGUGAGGUAACGGCUCACCAAGGCAACGAUGCGUAGCCGACCAGAGAGGGUGAUCGGCCACACUGGGACUGAGACACGGCCCACACUCCUACGGAAGGCACCAGUAAGGAAUCGUCCUCAAUGGACGAUAGUCUGACGGAUCACCGCCGCGAGAAGCAGGAUUGCUUCACCGGCCAACACUCACGGACAGACGGGCUGCGAACUGCUCUCUCAAGUCGUCCGUCUCUAUGAAGAUACCUACGCUCGUGCCUUCGACAAUGGCCAUGCUCACCCCCUCAGUCAAAUCCCUAUUCCUUCCUCAACAGGCCGACUGACACACAAGAUAUAGCAGUGAGCAAUAGGCACAUAAAGCUCACAACCAUCAAACGCACAUCGCUGGGCCUGUCCUAUACUCACCGCAGAGACAGCCUCGAGAAUCAUAGUUAAUCAGACUGUCUAAGCCUAACUGUCUCGAAGAGACAUGGGUUACCCCUGGCGGUCUCUAGUGUCUCCGUGUCCUACCCGCAGCUACGAACUCUAUCAAAAGUCUCCGUCUGCAGCGUGAGAUUCACUAGUCACGUAAUACAUUCGAUCCUUCAGCUAUUCUCACGAACUGUAGUGGACGACUCUCGAUUAGCCACCCUGCGAUAUCGGUAUACUAGCGAUUCCAGCUUCAUGUAGGCGAGUUGCAGCCUACAAUCCGAACUGAGAACGGUUUUAUGAGAUUAGCUCCACCUCGCGGUCUUCAGCUCUUUGUACCGUCCAUUGUAGCACGUGUGUAGCCCACGUCAUAAGGGGCAUGAUGAUUUGACGUCCUCCCCACCUUCCGCCGGUUCGGCACCGGCAGUCACCUUACAUUGCCCAACUAAAUGAUGGCAACUAAGAUCAAGGGUUGCCCUCGUUGCCCGACGUAACACAGAAUCUCUCGACAAGUUCUGACGACCACCAUACACCGCCUGUUAUAGUGCUCCCGAAGGAGAGCCUAUAUCUCGAGGGAAGUCACAUUAAGUUACGAUUUCUCAACGACCUCUUCAUAAUAGCGAAUUCUUUAGCGCUUACUACAUAUAUGAAUUUGA
rnacentral:rRNA from 1 species